rnacentral:rRNA from 1 species
AUUUUACUUGCCCGAAGGGUGACUUGCGACGCCGCGUGCAGGAUGAAGGCCUUCGGGUUGUAAACUGCUGUCAGGGGGGAAGAAACCUUACGUAUAAAUAAUGCGUAAGCUGACAUCACCCCCAAAGGAAGCCACGGCUAACUCUGUGCCAGCAGCCGCGGUAAGACAGAGGUGGCAAGCGUUGUUCGGAUUCAUUGGGUGUAAAGGGCAGGUAGGUGGUUAUGCAAGUCCGGUGUGAAAUCCCACGGCUCAACCGUGGAACGGCAUUGGAAACUGCAUGACUUGAGUACCGGAGAGGUGAGGGGAAUUCUCGGUGUAAGGGUGAAGGGGGGGGAUAUCGAGAGGAACACCAGUGGCGAAGGCGCCUCACUGGCCGGUUACUGACACUGAGCUGCGAAAG